GUGCUCACUUCGGCAGCACAUAUACUAAAAUUGGAACGAUACAGAGAAGAUUAGCAUAGCCCCUAUGCAAGGAUGACACGCAAAUUCGUGAAGUGUUCCAUAUUUUU
ensembl:snRNA U6 U6 spliceosomal RNA